rnacentral:rRNA from 1 species
UUGCGGUUAAAAAGCUCGUAGUUGAAUUUGUGUUCCGCGCUGUCGGUUCACCGCCCGCGGUGUUUAACUGGCACGUCCGCGGAACGUCCUGCCGGUGGAUGCGCGGACCUUGUAUGCUUCCCCAUUAUGCGUGUGCAACUUCGGUUGUUACUGUAUAAUGUGGUGGGGUUGCAGGCGCUCCAGCAUCCGACUCAAUAAUCCUGUCGCGGUGCUCUUAAUUGAGUGUCGAGGCGGGCCGGCACGUUUACUUUGAACAAAUUAGAGUGCUCAAAGCAGGCUAAAAUUUCGCCUGAAUAUUGUGUGCAUGGAAUAAUGGAACAGGACCUCGGUUCUAUUUUGUUGGUUUUCGGAACCCCGAGGUAAUGAUUAAUAGGGACAGAUGGGGGCAUUCGUAUUGCGACGUUAGAGGUGAAAUUCUUGGAUCGUCGCAAGACGGACAGAAGCGAAAGCAUUUGCCAAAAAUGUUUUCAUUAAUCAAGAACGAAAGUCAGAGGUUCGAAGGCGAUCAGAUACCGCCCUAGUUCUGACCAUAAACGAUGCCAGCUAGCGAUCCGCCGACGUUCCUCCGAUGACUCGGCGGGCAGCUUCCGGGAAACCAAAGCUUUUGGGUUCCGGGGGAAGUA